rnacentral:rRNA from 1 species
UACGAAGGGGGCUAGCGUUGUUCGGAAUCACUGCGCGUAAAGCGCGCGUAGGUGGAUGUGCAAGUCAGAGGUGAAAUCGCGGGGCUUAACCCCGGAACUGCCUUUGAAACUGCACAUCUGGAGUGUCGGAGGGGAUAGUGGAAUUCCUAGUGUAGAGGUGAAAUUCGUAUAGACUAGGAGGAACACCAGUGGCGAAGGCGACUAUCUGGACGACAACUGACACUGAGGUGCGAAAGCGUGGGGAGCAAACACG